UUGAAGAGUUUGAUUCUGGCUCAGAUUGAACGCUAGCGGCAUGCUUAACACAUGCAAGUCGAACGGCAGCGCGGAAGGCUUUUAGCCUUCUGGCGGCGAGUGGCGGACGGGUGAGUAAUGCGUAGGAAUCUACCUUGUAGUGGGGGAUAACCCGGGGAAACUCGGGCUAAUACCGCAUGAUCUCUACGGAGCAAAGCGGGGAUCUUUGGACCUCGCGCUGUGAGAUGAGCCUAUGUCGGAUUAGCUUGUUGGUAGGGUAAUGGCCUACCAAGGCGGCGAUCCGUAGCUGGUCUGAGAGGACGGUCAGCCACACUGGGACUGAGACACGGCCCAGACUCCUACGGGAGGCAGCAGUGGGGAAUCUUGGACAAUGAGGGAAACCUUGAUCCAGCAAUGCCGCGUGUGUGAAGAAGGCCUUCGGGUUGUAAAGCACUUUCAGCAGGAAAGAAAUUCUCAGGGAUAAUACCCUUGGGCGCUGACGUUACCUGCAAAAGAAGCACUGGCUAACUCUGUGCCAGCAGCCGCGGUAAUACAGAGAGUGCAAGCGUUAAUCGGAAUUACUGGGCGUAAAGCGCGCGUAGGUGGAUAUUUAAGUCGGAUGUGAAAGACCCCUAGGCUUAACCUGGGAAUUGCAUCCGAUACUGGGUGUCUAGAGUAUGGUAGAGGGAAGUGGAAUUUCCGGUGUAGCGGUGAAAUGCGUAGAUAUCGGGAAGAACACCAGUGGCGAAGGCGACUUCCUGGAUCAAUACUGACACUGAGGUGCGAAAGCGUGGGGAGCAAACAGGAUUAGAGACCCUGGUAGUCCACGCCGUCAACGAUGAGAACUAGCUGUUGGAAAGUUUGCUUUCUAGUAGCGAAGCUAACGCGUUAAGUUCUCCGCCUGGGGAGUACGGCCGCAAGGUUAAAACUCAAAGAAAUUGACGGGGGCCCGCACAAGCGGUGGAGCAUGUGGUUUAAUUCGAUGCAACGCGAAAAACCUUACCUACCCUUGACAUCCUCGGAACUUGUCAGAGAUGACAAGGUGCCCUUUGGGAGCCGAGUGACAGGUGCUGCAUGGCUGUCGUCAGCUCGUGUCGUGAGAUGUUGGGUUAAGUCCCGUAACGAGCGCAACCCUCGUCCUUAGUUGCCAGCGGUUCGGCCGGGAACUCUAAGGAGACUGCCGGUGAUAAACUGGAGGAAGGUGGGGAUGAUGUCAAGUCAUCAUGGCCCUUACGGGUAGGGCUACACACGUGCUACAAUGGGCAAUACAAAGGGUUGCCAAACCGUGAGGUGGAGCUAAUCCCAGAAAAUUGCUCGUAGUCCGGAUUGAAGUCUGCAACUCGACUUCAUGAAGUUGGAAUCGCUAGUAAUCGCGAAUCAGAAUGUCGCGGUGAAUACGUUCUCGGGCCUUGUACACACCGCCCGUCACACCAUGGAAGUGAACUGUACCAGAAGCGGGUAGGCUAACCCUUUAAGGGAAGCCGCUCACCACGGUAUGAUUCAUGACUGGGGUGAAGUCGUAACAAGGUAGCCGUAGGGGAACCUGCGGCUGGAUCACCUCCUU
rnacentral:rRNA from 1 species